AGAGUUUGAUCAUGGCUCAGGAUGAACGCUAGCGACAGGCUUAACACAUGCAAGUCGAGGGGCAGCAUGAUUUGUAGCAAUACAGAUUGAUGGCGACCGGCGCACGGGUGAGUAACGCGUAGUGCAACUUACCUAUCAGAGGGGGAUAGCCCGGCGAAAGUCGGAUUAAUACCCCAUAAAACAGGGGGUCCCGCAUGGGAAUAUUUGUUAAAGAUUCAUCGCUGAUAGAUAGGCAUGCGUUUCAUUAGGCAGUUGGCGGGGUAACGGCCCACCAAACCGACGAUGGAUAGGGGUUCUGAGAGGAAGGUCCCCCACAUUGGUACUGAGACACGGACCAAACUCCUACGGGAGGCAGCA
rnacentral:rRNA from 1 species